AUGGGCUGCGCGCAAGCCAAGCCGUCCCAGGGCUCCCCCGCCCGCAGCCACGACCGCGGCAUCGACCACCUCAUGCGCUGCAACGGCUACACGCCCGCCGCCGCCCGCCGCCUCACCGACCCCCUUCCCACCACCGCCGCCGUCGCCGUCGCGAGGGACCAGGCCGACGCCAAGGAUGGCGGUCCUGCGGGGACGGAGACCACGGAUGCCUCGGGGACGUCGAACCUGACGGCGGCCACGGUUUCCUCUCCGUCGCUGUCGAUGCCGCCGCAGGCGCCGGCGCCGCGGCGGGAGGACGACCGCGAGCAGCUGGUUGACGGGUGGCCGACGUGGCUGCUGGAGAACGUGCCGCGCGAGGCGCUGCAGGGGAUCGUGCCCCGGAGCGCCGACGCGUUCGACAAGAUCGAGAAGGUCGGGCAGGGCACGUACAGCAACGUGUACAAGGCCCGCGAGCGCGGCGCCGACGGCCGGCUCGUCGCGCUGAAGAAGGUCCGGCUCGACACCAUGGAGCCGGAGAGCGUCAAGUUCAUGGCCCGGGAGAUGCGCAUCCUCCGCCGGCUCGACCACCCCAACAUCAUCCGCCUCGACGGCAUCGCCACCUCCCGCAUGCACCGCAGCAUCUACCUCGUCUUCGACUUCAUGUACUCCGACCUCGCCCGCCUCAUCGCCCGCCCUCUCACCCUGCCACAGAUCAAGUGCUACAUGCAGCAGCUGCUGAUGGGGCUGCAGCACUGCCACGAGCGCAACAUCCUGCACCGGGACAUCAAGGGCUCCAACCUGCUGAUCGACCGCGCCGGCGUGCUCAAGAUCGGCGACCUGGGCCUGGCCAACUACUUCGGGCCCGGGCGGCGCCGCCCGCUGACAAGCCGCGUGGUCACCCUCUGGUACCGCGCGCCGGAGCUGCUGCUAGGCGCAACCGACUACGGCGUGGGCAUCGACCUCUGGAGCGCCGGCUGCCUGCUGGCCGAGAUGUUCUCUGGCAAGCCGCUGAUGCCCGGCAGGACGGAGGUGGAGCAGCUCUUCAAGAUCUUCAGCCUCUGCGGGUCGCCGCCCGACGAGUACUGGCGGAGGAUGAAGCUCCCGGCCACCAUCCGCCCGCCCAAGACGUACAAGUCGACGAUGGCGGAGAAGUUCGCCGGCAUGCCGCCGUCGGCGCUCCCCCUGCUGACCACGCUCCUCGCCCUCGACCCCGCAGCCCGCGGCACCGCCGCCCAGGCUCUCCAGAGCGACUUCUUCAGCACGCCGCCGUUGGCCUGCGACGUCGCCGACCUCCCCGUCGUGUACAAGGAGGAGGCUGCUGAUCCGACCACCCCCCGCGACGGAAGGAAGUCCAAGCCGAGGCAGCGUUCCCAGAAGCGAAGGAACAGCGGCAAGCAGAGAGCUGAUCGGGAGCUCUCCAAUGGCGAAUCUCCAAAUCCAAACAAAGAGGAGGAGAACAGGGCCGAGCCUCUGUGCCUAACUAUAAAAUUGGGCCCACCAUUAGAAGAACGACGUCCGGCAUCAAGAGACGCACAGGGCCUGGCCGAGAGCGCCAUCGUCAGGGCCUCCACCAGCACGACCUCACAACGGUUUUCAGUGAGCCCAAUUCGGUCGUUCCUACCUGCGGAUGAGCCGCAGCUGCGGAGGGCCAACACCUACCACGCCACCGGCGACGAGCACAAGGGCGGCGCCAUCGCGCACCGCGGCGUGGCGAUCAGAUCAGCGACGUGA
rnacentral:rRNA from 1 species